CGCUGUGUGUGCGCGCACGUGUUAGCGUGUCUGCCUGCAUGCAUGUAUGUGUGCUUGUUUGUGUUCAUCAAUGUGCGCGUGCGCGCUUUUGUGUCUGCGCUUUGAGAGUGCGUAUACUUGUGUGUGCGUGUGGGUGCGUUUUGUGUGCGUGCGUAUGUAUUGCAUGAGGCCGGUAGAAUUUUACUCGCAAUAAAACUCUUCCGAUUUGGUGCAGCGAGUGUUCCCGCCUGAAAGCCGAGUUUGGUUUCAAGCCACCCUGGACAACUGCUGUAUGAGGCGCCGUUUCUCGGGAGGACCAGUGGGAAGGCGCCAGGUCAUGCAGAUGGUAGCAGCAAUUUCACAAUGCCCAGCCUUGGCGCCCCCCAUCAAGAGCAAGCCACUUGCGUUCGCCUUCAGACAGAUGGUUAAUGUCUUCUUGAAAGCGGUUGAGAAGACAACAUUGAUGCAAGAUUCCAGCAAUGCCAUGCGCUGCAUUUAUUGGUCAAGAUGCUCAGAGAAUGGAGUCCCUGCACCUCGUGGUUAACCGUGAACAUUUCUUUUUCUUUUGGAAAGCUAAAGGCCAUUUGCUGCAUCACUUGCAUUUUUGCAGCUCAGAUGUGUACUAUAUUUUUCUAAUUUUGAAUCAAUAUUGGCUGUUCAGUAUAAAAAAUGACGUACAGCGUGAAGGACAAGGACUGCGAGAGACACACUCCACUGACUUUCAACAAUAUUUUAUUGCGUUGCCACAUCGUGUGUGUAUACACAGAGGGGUCAUGCGCAGAAAAUGAA